UACGGAGGGGGCUAGCGUUGUUCGGAAUUACUGGGCGUAAAGCGCGCGUAGGCGGACCUGCAAGUCGGGGGUGAAAGCCCGAGGCUCAACCUCGGAACUGCCUUCGAUACUGCGGGUCUCGAGUCCGGGAGAGGUGAGUGGAAUUCCUAGUGUAGAGGUGAAAUUCGUAGAUAUCGGGAGGAACACCAGUGGCGAAGGCGACUACCUGGCCUGUUCUUGACGCUGAGGCGCGGAAGCUAGGGGAGCAAACGGG
rnacentral:rRNA from 1 species